rnacentral:rRNA from 1 species
ACAGCAGUCGCCACGGGAAUACGUAGGUGGCAAGCGUUGUCCGGAAUUAUUGGGCGUAAAGCGCGCGCAGGUGGUUUAAUAAGUCUGGUGUGAAAGCCCACGGCUCAACCGUGGAGGGUCAUUGGAAACUGUUAAACUUGAGUGCAGGAGAGAAAAGUGGAAUUCCUAGUGUAGCGGUGAAAUGCGUAGAGAUUAGGAGGAACACCAGUGGCGAAGGCGGCUUUUUGGCCUGUAACUGACACUGAGGCGCGAAAGCGUGGGGAGCAAACAGGAUUAGAUACCCCUGUAGUCCCUGUCUCUUAUAC